AAUGGAUAUUCAAGAGCUAAGGCGCUUCUCAAGAACGGCCAGUGUGUCACUUCUACCCCUUUCGGUGUUGGCGGCCACAGCUGGGUCGUGAGAUAUUACCCAAACGGUGAGCGUGAGGACUAUGACGAUUUUAUAUCUCUUUAUCUCCGGCUUGAAUCUGCCGAUGCCGAAGAUGUGAAGGCAAAAUUCACAUUCAGAGUACUCCCUCCGUUCGGAGAACCAGUGCCUUCAUACAGACGUACCAGCAAGUAUACCUUCUCAAGUAAAGGUUCAGGCAGGGGUUGGCAUGACUACAUCAAGAGGGAUGAUCUGGACGUAUCGUCGCAUCUGAGGGACAAUUGUCUCAGCAUCAGGUGCGAUGUCACCGUCAUGAAGGAGAUCCACGGCGAAGAAGCAAGGGUUCCUCCAAGCGACCUCGACCGGCAUCUCGGCGACCUCCUAAAGAACAAGGACGCAGCAGACCUGACUUUCCAAGUUGGCGGGCAGAGUUUCUCCGCUCACAGGUGCGUCCUCGCUGCUCGGUCAUCCGUCUUCAAAGCGAAGCUCCUCGGCGCCAUGAAGGAGAGUUGUUCUGCUGCCAGCCCUAUUGAAAUCUGUGACAUGGAAGCUCAUGUGUUCAAGUCCUUGCUCCAUUUCAUGUACACCGAUUCGGUCCCUCCGAAGCUUGAUGUGGCGAUGGCUGGCCACCUUCUAGUGGCGGCUGACAGGUACAAUGUUGUGAGGCUGAAGCAGAUAUGCGAGGAGAAAUUGUGCGCUCACAUCGAUUCCAACAUGGUGGCCACCAGUUUGGCUCUGGCGGAGCAGCAUGGCUUCCCUCGUCUCAAGGAGGCUUGUCUACAGUUCCUUGAUUCUCCUUCCAAUUUCAAAGCUAUGAUGGCAAGCGACGGUUAUGAGCAUCUCACAUCUAGCUGCCCGUCUGUUCUCAAGGAGCUCAUAGCUAGAAUCCUCCCCGCUGAAUGGAGCGUCGCAAAGGAGGUUGUCAUGAAAAUGUGA
rnacentral:rRNA from 1 species